GAUGAACGCUAGCGGCAGGCCUAAUACAUGCAAGUCGAACGGCAGCGGGUGUAGCAAUACAUGCCGGCGAGUGGCGCACGGGUGCGUAACGCGUAUGCAACCUACCCAUAACUGGGGGAUAGCCCGGAGAAAUUCGGAUUAAUACCCCAUAAUAUAUUGAUGUGGCAUCACAUUAUUAUUAAAGCUCAGGCGGUUAUGGAUGGGCAUGCGUGACAUUAGUUUGUUGGUGAGGUAACGGCUCACCAAGACUACGAUGUCUAGGGGUUCUGAGAGGAUGAGCCCCCACACUGGUACUGGGACACGGACCAGACUCCUACGGGAGGCAGCAGUAAGGAAUAUGGGGCAAUGGAGGCAACUCUGACCCAGCCAUGCCGCGUGAAGGAUGAAGGCCCUAUGGGUUGUAAACUUCUUUUAUCUGGGACGAAAAAAGGCGAUUCUUCGUCACUUGACGGUACCAGAUGAAUAAGCACCGGCUAACUCCGUGCCAGCCGCCGCCGUAACAC
rnacentral:rRNA from 1 species